rnacentral:rRNA from 1 species
UAGCGGAACCUGCGGAAGGAUCAUUA